UAAGACGUAGGAGGCGAGCGUUGUCCGGAUUCAUUGGGCGUAAAGAGCACGCAGGCGGUUUGGCAAGUCGGAUGUGAAAACCCGGAGCUCAACUCCGGGCGUGCAUCCGAUACUGCCCGACUAGAGGUAGGUAGGGGAGAUCGGAAUUCCUGGUGUAGCGGUGAAAUGCGCAGAUAUCAGGAGGAACACCGGUGGCGAAGGCGGGUCUCUGGGCCGAUACUGACGCUGAGGAGCGAAAGCGUGGGGAGCGAACAGGAUUAGAUACCCUGGUAGUCCACGCUGUAAACGUUGGGCGCUAGGUGUGGGGGGCCUCUCCGGUUCUCUGUGCCGCAGCUAACGCAUUAAGCGCCCCGCCUGGGGAGUACGGCCGCAAGGCUA
rnacentral:rRNA from 1 species